rnacentral:rRNA from 1 species
UACAGAGGUCCCAAGCGUUGUUCGGAUUCACUGGGCGUAAAGGGUGCGUAGGCGGUCGGGUAAGUCUGAUGUGAAAUCUCACAGCUUAACUGUGAAACUGCAUUGGAUACUAUCCGGCUCGAGGAAUGGAGGGGAGACUGGAAUACUUGGUGUAGCAGUGAAAUGCGUAGAUAUCAAGUGGAACACCAGUGGCGAAGGCGAGUCUCUGGGCCAAUACUGACGCUGAGGAGCGAAAGCGUGGGGAGCGAACAGG